UCAGUUCGGAUUGGAGUCUGCAACUCGACUCCAUGAAGCUGGAUUCGCUAGUAAUCGCGCAUCAAGCCAUGGCGCGGUGAAUACGUUCCCGGGCCUUGUACACACCGCCCGUCAAGCCAUGGAAGCCGGGGGUGCCUGAAGUGCGUGACCGCAAGGAGCGCCCUAAGGUAAAACCGGUGACUGGGGCUAAGUCGUAACAAGGUAUC
rnacentral:rRNA from 1 species